rnacentral:rRNA from 1 species
GGUGAGGUGCCUGACCUGUCUCAAGAUGGCUGGCCAGAAGAUCCUCUUGGGGUCCUGACCGAAGGUUCUCUUCCACGUCUCGACCAAGGCCCUGUCGUCGUCAGUGACCUUAUCUCCUGGUGACUUGUCAGGGGGAGAUUCCUUGGCCUCUUCCUUGGACCUCUUCUUCUUCACGUAGGACGAAGCCAGGGUCUUGGUCUUGGUGUUGGAGAUGAGGU